rnacentral:rRNA from 1 species
AAUGGGUCAGCGACUUAUAUUCUGUAGCAAGGUUAACCGAAUAGGGGAGCCGAAGGGAAACCGAGUCUUAACUGGGCGUUAAGUUGCAGGGUAUAGACCCGAAACCCGGUGAUCUAGCCAUGGGCAGGUUGAAGGUUGGGUAACACUAACUGGAGGACCGAACCGACUAAUGUUGAAAAAUUAGCGGAUGACUUGUGGCUGGGGGUGAAAGGCCAAUCAAACCGGGAGAUAGCUGGUUCUCCCCGAAAGCUAUUUAGGUAGCGCCUCGUGAAUUCAUCUCCGGGGGUAGAGCACUGUUUCGGCAAGGGGGUCAUCCCGACUUACCAACCCGAUGCAAACUGCGAAUACCGGAGAAUGUUAUCACGGGAGACACACGGCGGGUGCUAACGUCCGUCGUGAAGAGGGAAACAACCCAGACCGCCAGCUAAGGUCCCAAAGUCAUGGUUAAGUGGGAAACGAUGUGGGAAGGCCCAGACAGCCAGGAUGUUGGCUUAGAAGCAGCCAUCAUUUAAAGAAAGCGUAAUAGCUCACUGGUCGAGUCGGCCUGCGCGGAAGAUGUAACGGGGCUAAACCAUGCACCGAAGCUGCGGCAGCGACACUAUGUGUUGUUGGGUAGGGGAGCGUUCUGUAAGCCUGUGAAGGUGUACUGUGAGGUAUGCUGGAGGUAUCAGAAGUGCGAAUGCUGACAUAAGUAACGAUAAAGCGGGUGAAAAGCCCGCUCGCCGGAAGACCAAGGGUUCCUGUCCAACGUUAAUCGGGGCAGGGUGAGUCGACCCCUAAGGCGAGGCCGAAAGGCGUAGUCGAUGGGAAACAGGUUAAUAUUCCUGUACUUGGUGUUACUGCGAAGGGGGGACGGAGAAGGCUAUGUUGGCCGGGCGACGGUUGUCCCGGUUUAAGCGUGUAGGCUGGUUUUCCAGGCAAAUCCGGAAAAUCAAGGCUGAGGCGUGAUGACGAGGCACUACGGUGCUGAAGCAACAAAUGCCCUGCUUCCAGGAAAAGCCUCUAAGCAUCAGGUAACAUCAAAUCGUACCCCAAACCGACACAGGUGGUCAGGUAGAGAAUACCAAGGCGCUUGAGAGAACUCGGGUGAAGGAACUAGGCAAAAUGGUGCCGUAACUUCGGGAGAAGGCACGCUGAUAUGUAGGUGAAGUCCCUCGCGGAUGGAGCUGAAAUCAGUCGAAGAUACCAGCUGGCUGCAACUGUUUAUUAAAAACACAGCACUGUGCAAACACGAAAGUGGACGUAUACGGUGUGACGCCUGCCCGGUGCCGGAAGGUUAAUUGAUGGGGUUAGCGGUAACGCGAAGCUCUUGAUCGAAGCCCCGGUAAACGGCGGCCGUAACUAUAACGGUCCUAAGGUAGCGAAAUUCCUUGUCGGGUAAGUUCCGACCUGCACGAAUGGCGUAAUGAUGGCCAGGCUGUCUCCACCCGAGACUCAGUGAAAUUGAACUCGCUGUGAAGAUGCAGUGUACCCGCGGCAAGACGGAAAGACCCCGUGAACCUUUACUAUAGCUUGACACUGAACAUUGAGCCUUGAUGUGUAGGAUAGGUGGGAGGCUUUGAAGUGUGGACGCCAGUCUGCAUGGAGCCGACCUUGAAAUACCACCCUUUAAUGU